UACGUAUGGUUCAAGCGUUAUCCGGAUUUACUGGGUGUAAAGGGUGAGUAGGCGGUUAUGCAAGUCAUAUGUGAAAUGUCGGGGCUCAACUCCGGCCUGCAUAAGAAACUGUAUAACUAGAGUGCAGGAGAGGCAAGCGGAAUUCCUAGUGUAGCGGUGAAAUGCGUAGAUAUUAGGAAGAACACCGGUGGCGAAGGCGGCUUGCUGGACUGUUACUGACGCUGAGUCACGAAAGCGUGGGGAGCAAACAGG
rnacentral:rRNA from 1 species